GGCUCAGGACGAACGCUGGCGGCGUGCUUAACACAUGCAAGUCGAACGGGAAACCUUUUAAUGAAGCUUCGGCAGAUUUAGCUGGUUUCUAGUGGCGGACGGGUGAGUAACGCGUGGGUAACCUGCCUUAUACAGGGGGGAUAACAGUCAGAAAUGACUGCUAAUACCGCAUAAGCGCACAGGGCCGCAUGGUCCGGUGUGAAAAACUCCGGUGGUAUAAGAUGGACCCGCGUUGGAUUAGCUUGUUGGUGGGGUAACGGCUCACCAAGGCGACGAUCCAUAGCCGGCCUGAGAGGGUGAACGGCCACAUUGGGACUGAGACACGGCCCAGACUCCUACGGGAGGCAGCAGU
rnacentral:rRNA from 1 species